rnacentral:rRNA from 1 species
GACGAACGCUGGCGGCGUGCUUAACACAUGCAAGUCGAACGGAAAGGCCCUGCUUGCAGGGUACUCGAGUGGCGAACGGGUGAGUAACACGUGGGUGAUCUGCCCUGCACUUCGGGAUAAGCCUGGGAAACUGGGUCUAAUACCGGAUAGGAGCCAUUUUUAGUGUGAUGGUUGGAAAGUUUUUUCGGUGUAGGAUGAGCUCGCGGCCUAUUAGCUUGUUGGUGGGGUAAUGGCCUACCAAGGCGGCGACGGGUAGCCGGCCUGAGAGGGUGGACGGCCACAUUGGGACUGAGAUACGGCCCAGACUCCUACGGGAGGCAGCAGUGGGGAAGAUUGCACAAUGGGCGCAAGCCUGAUGCAGCGACGCCGCGUGGGGGAUGACGGCCUUCGGGUUGUAAACUCCUUUCGCUAGGGACGAAGCUUUUUGUGACGGUACCUAGAUAAGAAGCACCGGCUAACUACGUG